GCGGCUGUAAACAUCCUCGACUGGAAGCUGUGCAUGUGGACGAGCUUUCAGUCGGAUGUUUGCAGCUGC
rnacentral:pre_miRNA from 1 species